UCAAACUCUCACCCCUCUAUCUCACCGUCGUUGGCUCGGCUCAUCCUCAACAUCACCGGCCCACCGAAACUCAUUGUCACCGACCCACCAGCUAACCCACUUCGUCAAACUCCUAAGUUGAACCAAGCCCCAAGCCGCCGAUCUACGCCUAAGACCCACGCCUUUGAUCUACCGCCGAUCCACUCCUUCGACCCAUCUCGGCCUUCUCUGAUGCUCUCUACUCUCUCAAACUCUCACCUCUAAACUCUCACCUCUUUGUCCCGCCACCGCCGCUGCAGAUCCACACCUCCGACCCAACUCACCUUCAGUUUGCUUGGAAGUAUAUUGCUGUUUCUAAUUUUAUGGAGUCACGUAGAGACUUAACAAAGUGAUGGAUUUAUGGCAUACACUGAGAGUUAUGGACACAUUAGAGACCGAGAAAUUCAUUCUCAACUCCAGUUGGACCUCAUUGAACAUUUAUGGCAAUUGCAAGGCAAGUCAUAGGAACUUCCUUUUUUAUAUGUUCAGAAGCAUGAGUCAUAGGAACUUGUGCGAGUGUGUGAGUUUUAUUGUAAUUUGGUUUGAGUUAUGUAUGUGAGUAAUCUAUGGACUACAUUGUUCCAACUAUAAUAUGUGUUCUAUUUUA